rnacentral:lncRNA from 1 species
GGCGGGGCCAAGAUGGCUGACUGGAAGCUGUGGCGUUCAGAGGCUUCCAUCGGAAAAAAACAUAAUAAGCCUGUGAAUCCUUCACAGGCAACCAAGGUAUCCAGGCUCUCUCUCAUCAAAAUUGUCUAGAAGGCUGGCAUGACCCACUGAGAGAAGGAAGAGCACUGUGGUGUGGUGGCCCACACCGGGAAGGGGAACCUCCUCUCCACAGCCACGGGAGGCGAGCACCGGAGAUUGUCAGAAGAUCUCAUUUCUAGUCUUAGCUGUAGGACUGUGGGCAAGUCACCGUCUUCUGCACUUUCUAUGGGAGAGACCAUUCGCUCAACCGUCAGGAAAGCAGCGAGGUUAGCAGUAUAAGAUGAUAUAAUGAUGAGUGUAAAGAACCACCAAACACCUCCAACAAUUCGACCUGAGAGGGAUCUAAACAUGGAUAAAAUAAUGCACAUUUUCCUUUCUUUAACCAACAUAGAGAAAGAAAAGAAAUACCGUCAAUUCACCAUGCAUAUUUAAAAAUAACAAUUGCCAAGUAUUGUUUUAUUUUCUGAGAGUCUGCUCAAGAAUGAUUCUGAAUUUCUGUAUAAUCUGAUGUCUUCUAUGGUGUAUUUAAUAUAUAAAUGCCACUGAAAAUAUGACAACCAUUUCCUUUUUAUUGUUUAAAGAAAAUGGCAGAAAUGUAAAACUUAAUAGCUUUUCUUCAGCUGCUCAAGGGGAAUACUUAGUUGAAUUCAUUAAUACUCUCCUGCCCUCAUUUCUUAGCAUCUCUGAAAUUAGGAUGCAGCCUAUGGUUGAUGAGAUAAAAUAUAGUAUCAUGGUUUAAUUGGCAGCAUUGUUUCUCUGUUUGUGGUACAUAAAUUAGCAAUACCUAUGAACAGUGACUGCAGUCUUAGAUUUGAUGCAAGUUUGUAAAUACCUUUCUGAGACUAAAGGAAAUAACUUGUUUUACCUUCAGUCAGAGCCCUGCCAGGAUGAUGGGAUGUAGGCCAAGGUGAGAUUGGACCCGAAGAGCGUCUAGAAUUGGUCUCGAAGUGACCAUAGUUGAGGCUUUUUUUGUUUGUUUGCUUGAUAGUCCAUUCCUGAGCUAAGUGGAGGUUGAACCAUGUCUCAAAGUUAUCUUUACACACUCAUAUACGAUUUUCUCUCUUUUCACUCUUUCUCUGGUAUCAAGGAUGUGUGGGUGAGUGUGAGUGCAGAGCAAAUGUGAGAAGGGGGUGAGUAAAAAAAUCCAGAGAAUGUUCAUCAUUGAACUCACUUAUUGUAACCAUCAAACUACUUAAAAUUCCUGGGGCAAAUUGUUGUAAAACAUUUGUUUUAAAACUUGAAGAAUGAUUUCAUAUUUUUCAUAGCAUUUCCAAAGUUAAAAUACUCCCUUAUUAUAAUACUUGCUAUUAUAAAAGAGACACCUAUUGGGUUUAACUUAAUAUUUGCUUAAUCCUGGCUUUUAAAAGCCAUUGCUUGACUUACUUUGAUUUCUUUUUAGUUCAUUAAUUGAAAGUUUUCAAGUCAGAUUCCUAUGUUAUUGGAAUUUAAACAUAUUUAUAAUUUUCCUAGGUCUUAAGAAACACAAAUUGCAUUGUGCCCAAAAUGCCUCUUUUUUGAGAAAGCAUACAUUUCUAUAAAGAAAGAAAUCCAUAUAUUUGUGAUGCUAAUAUAUAGUCAACAAUUAAAGUAAAUACUUUUCUUCUCAUACCUUCAGCUACUUUCUCUAUGAGAAAAGUAAGGCAUUUUUUCUUGCAAAAGAAGCCUGCAUUUUUGGUGAAUAUAAUGGUUAAAUGAUAUCUUAGUGGUAUCCAAAGGAAGGGAGCCAUGACUCCACAGAUAUUGAAAAACAUUUCCAUAAAACUAGCAUAGUGUUUGCAUGGUUGGCUUUUUGCCUAUUGCUUAGCUAAUUUAUGCAUUGCUAUAUAAAACAAUGUAUAUCUGGUACCUACUAUCUUGACUCAGGUUCCAGGUAUCUCCCUUAAGCUAUGUGAGAUAAGAAUUAAGUCCAACAUUAAUUUCUGAAAAUGAGCAACAACAACAAUAGUAGGAAAAAAUUGCAAUAAUAGCAAAAGUGUUUGUUUUUUAAAAGGAAACAAAAUGGAAAUGAAUUCCUGUUCUAUAAUUUAGGUUCCAGUUUCCAUUUGUCAAACCAAUGAAUGAAAUAUUAAUACUAAAUGAUUUUUGAGAGCUCUGAUGGAUUGCAUAGUUUCUUUGCUAUUGAGAAAGUUAAUAUUUAUGAUAUAUCCAUAUUUUGUGCUAACUUGGAAGAAAUUGCUAUUUGGGAAUUGCAAGUCUUUUUCUGUGUUUCAAAUAGUCCUCUGUCUUCAGGAAAAGAACAUGUAGAGAGAUAAUCUGCACAACAUUUAGAAUUACUGGGAAAUCAGUGAAGAACUUAAGAGAUUUGAAACUAACCUGGGUGAAAUGUCACAUCCUUGCUGCAUAAAAG